rnacentral:rRNA from 1 species
UACAGAGGUCCCGAGCGUUGUUUGGAUUCACUGGGCGUAAAGGGUGCGCAGGUGGGUUGGCAAGUUUGAUGUGAAAGCCCCGGGCUUAACCCGGGAAUGGCAUUGAAUACUGCUGAUCUGGAGGAUCGGAGGGGGGACUGGAAUUCUUGGUGUAGCAGUGAAAUGCGUAGAUAUCAAGAGGAACACCAGUGGCGAAGGCGAGUCCCUGGACGAUACCUGACACUGAGGCACGAAAGCCAAGGGAGCAAACAGG